GUCCAUUUUAGGCAAAUUUUGUGUAGUGUAAUUCGGUCUUUAAAAGGAAAGGAAAUAGUAUAUGUAUCUUAGUUGAAAAUACAUGGAAAUCAACUAUUUUCCAUAACAGACCGAAUUUGCUAUAGCUGGCAAUGAAAGCUACGUAUUUACAAUGGAUUACAUUGUCUGCCUCGAUUUCAAGCUAUUGUUUCGUGUGCGCUCAAGCGAAUUCGGGAAGUGCCCUGCGAACGGGUAUACUCUGCCUGAUGAAAUUAGGGAAUCAUUACGGUCUGCGGAGGAGGAGGUGGGGUCUGUAUUGCCACUAUAUUGCCACUGCAUGUUUCCAUGCUAUAUGAAAAUAGUACCCACUAUGUAUGUAAGUUAUGAACUGGCAUCACAACAAUAUAGUAAUUCUAGGAAUUUCUUAUUUCAAAUAUUCAUGACAAUACUUAAUUACGAGUCCAAUAGUCUCAUCACAUAUUGGUAAAUUAUCAAUAACUCUGACUAAAUCGUUCGUUGGAAUGUUUAAUAACUAUUCAUCAGGAAAUGGUCUUUCUUCUAUUCUUUCAUAAAAUUCCUACCAUUCGUGAAAGUUCACUAAUGCCAAGUACAAAUUGGGUGAAUACAGGGAGUUGGUCGAGCUCUUCUCUUCCGUUCUUUCAUCAGAUUCUCUUCAUUCUUUCGUAUCUCUCUUGUUAAUACAUCAUCAUCCAAAUUUCCACCAUUCUUCUCUUCCUCACGGAGCCAUACCCAUCUUGGUCUCGCCAAACACAGAGUCACGGUAGAUAGCACAAGCAAAACGACCAAGAAAUUCUUAGAAAAUCCCAUGACUUCCGACUCAAGACUUGAUGCGACUUCGCGUGCAGGAGUUCAACUUCUCGAAACUUGAUGAUGUAGGAGUCUUUUUGAUCAACCAAUAUCGUUCACUUUCUAACACAAUGAUGAACUGAACAUUUGACCCGACUUUUAUAGCACAAUAUAGCACACCAGAUGUUCAUAUUUCUGCACCCGUUUGCUAUACCAACGCCAUAAGAUAACGGUUAAAAAGCAGUUGAAACCUGAAAAUAUUUCUCUUACUGAUUAGUUAAUUACUUCUUGAGACAUUCGUUUACUAGAAAUCGUCCUACUUUAGGGACUGGUUUAAGAAGACGCUCAAGUCUUACUUAGAAAGUUCCAUCUGCAAACCCAUAAAUAUAUAGGCUAUAGUUGUCGCUUUGGCCACUUGUGAGAAAACGCUUUGAAUGUUGCUAUAUUAUUUCCAUUUUGGACAAGAUGAGAAGCUCUUUGUAACAUUUGUUUCACUUAACGAUUUUUUAUUGCUGAUAUGAUCGAAAAGGAUAGACGCUUGUUUAUAAAUUUAAUUACUGAUAAUAUUUUGUAUGUAUAGGCUACUCAUGAUAAAAUGAUAAAAGAACGGCUGUAUUUAUAUACAAAACGAUCAAGAUAGAUAUAUUGCCUCCGCACGCAAAUAUACAAAUGGCUGAUCGUUCAAAUAUCAAUGCAAUAAUUCUUUUGACCAUUUUUAAACGGGCUAUAUUCCAUAAAAGCAGUCUCACGCCGGGACCAUGCAGUAAUGAUGAAGCAUCUGAGGGGAGGGGGGGGGGGGGGAGGGGUUCAACUCUAUUUCCCAGCCAAUAUUUUGCCUGAUUCCUUCCAUUCCCAGCAGCAAAAGUGCUGGUCCUUCACAUUGCAGCUGCUAUAUCGUCUCCAUACACCUACAAUGGCGCCGGCUGCUCGAAAUUUAGCUUUUAUAUUUAUACUCUUCGUGGGUCCCCUUUGCGGUAGCGAAAAUUAAAAAGCGCCUUAAUAUACGAUCGAAUUAUGUAUAGAAGUUCACACAAGUGUGGGGGAUAUAUGAAUAAAGACAUAUUUUUAAUUUUAGCUAACUGUUAUACCAAAUUAACUUGAGCGAAUGCAUAAUUCGUUUAUACAUACACAAGAUAACAAUGUG